rnacentral:rRNA from 1 species
GGAUGAACGCUGACAGAGUGCUUAACACAUGCAAGUCUUUGGCGAAGCUGUGCUUGCACAGCCUAGCCAAGGCGGACGGGUGAGUAACGCGUAAGUAACUUGCCCUGCAGUCAGGGAUAACAGACGGAAACGACUGAUAAGACCUGGUAAAGUCAGGCGGCCUCAUGUCCAGCCUGAUGAACAUAGAUGCUGCAGGAGAGCCUUGCGUCCGAUUAGCUUGUUGGUGGGGUAAAGGCCAACCAAGGCGAUGAUAGGUAGCCGUCCGGAGAGGGUGGACAGCCACACUGGAAAUGAGACACGGUCCAGACUCGUACUGGAGGCAGCAGGGGGGAAUAGUGGACAAGGGGCGUAAGCAUGAUCCAGCCAUACCGAGUGGGUGAAGAAGGCCUGCGGGUGGGAAAGCACUGUGGGGGGGAAAGAAAAGCAGCAGGGUAAUACCCCGCUGGUCUGACGGUACCCAAAGAAUAAGCACCGGCUAACUUCGUG